rnacentral:rRNA from 1 species
UACGGAGGGGGCAAGCGUUAAUCGGAAUUACUGGGCGUAAAGCGCGCGUAGGCGGCUCUGCAAGUCGAGUGUGAAAUCCCUAGGCUCAACCUGGGAACUGCAUUCGAGACUGCACGGCUAGAGUAUGGGAGAGGGAAGUGGAAUUUCAGGUGUAGCGGUGAAAUGCGUAGAUAUCUGAAGGAACAUCAGUGGCGAAAGCGACUUCCUGGACCAAUACUGACGCUCAGGUGCGAAAGCGUGGGGAGUAAACAGG